UGGUUCUGGCAUCGAUGAAGAACGCAGCGAAAUGCGAUAAGUAAUGUGAAUUGCAGAAUUCAGUGAAUCAUCGAAUCUUUGAACGCACAUUGCGCCCUUUGGUAUUCCGAAGGGCAUGCCCGUUCGAGCGUCAUUUCACCACUCAAGCCUGGCUUGGUCUUGGGCGUCCGCGGCCUCGCCGCGCGCCUCGAAAUCCUCGGCCCUGUGGCCCGUCCCCGAGCGUUGUGGCACAUGUUUCAUGUAUCCGCUCCGGGUGCGACGGGCGACGGCCGGCCGUGAAAACCAUUUCUUUCACAGGUUGACCUCGGAUCGGGUAGGGAUACCCGCUGA
rnacentral:misc_RNA from 1 species